ACAGGGAUUGCCCCAGUAACGGCGAGUGAAGCGGCAACAGCUCAAAUUUGAAAUCUGGCCCUAGGCCCGAGUUGUAAUUUGCAGAGGAUGCUUUUGGCGCGGUGCCUUCCGAGUUCCCUGGAACGGGACGCCAUAGAGGGUGAGAGCCCCGUACGGUUGGACACCAAGUCUUUGUAAAGCUCCUUCGACGAGUCGAGUAGUUUGGGAAUGCUGCUCAAAAUGGGAGGUAUAUUUCUUCUAAAGCUAAAUAUUGGCCAGAGACCGAUAGCGCACAAGUAGAGUGAUCGAAAGAUGAAAAGCACUUUGAAAAGAGGGUUAAACAGCACGUGAAAUUGUUAAAAGGGAAGCGCUUGUGACCAGACUUGCGUCCGGUGAAUCACCCAGCUCUCGCGGCUGGGGCAUUUUGCCGGCUCAGGCCAGCAUCAGCUUGCCGUCGGGGACAAAAGCUUCGGGAACGUAGCUCUCUUCGGGGAGUGUUAUAGCCCGUUGCAUAAUACCCUUCGGUGGGCUGAGGUACGCGCUCCGCAAGGAUGCUGGCGUAAUGGUCAUCAGCGACCCGUCUUGAAACACGGACCAAGGAGUCAACCUUAUGUGCGAGUGUUUGGGUGUUAAACCCCUACGCGUAAUGAAAGUGAACGCAGGUGAGAGCUUCGGCGCAUCAUCGACCGAUCCUGAUGUUCUCGGAUGGAUUUGAGUAAGAGCAUAUAGGGUUGGACCCGAAAGAAGGUGAACUAUGCGUGUAUAGGGUGAAGCCAGAGGAAACUCUGGUGGAGGCUCGCAGCGGUUCUGACGUGCAAAUCGAUCGUCAAAUAUGCGCAUGGGGGCGAAAGACUAAUCGAACCUUCUAGUAGCUGGUUUCCGCCGAAGUUUCCCUCAGGAUAGCAGUGUUGAACUCAGUUUUAUGAGGUAAAGCGAAUGAUUAGGGACUCGGGGGCGCUAUAUUGCCUUCAUCCAUUCUCAAACUUUAAAUAUGUAAGAAGCCCUUGUUACUUAAUUGAACGUGGGCAUUCGAAUGUAUCAACACUAGUGGGCCAUUUUUGGUAAGCAGAACUGGCGAUGCGGGAUGAACCGAACGCGAGGUUAAGGUGCCAGAGUAGACGCUCAUCAGACACCACAAAAGGUGUUAGUACAUCUUGACAGCAGGACGGUGGCCAUGGAAGUCGGAAUCCGCUAAGGACUGUGUAACAACUCACCUGCCGAAUGUACUAGCCCUGAAAAUGGAUGGCGCUCAAGCGUCUCACCCAUACCUCGCCCUCAGUGUAGAAACGAUGCGCUGAGGAGUAGGCGGACGUGGAGGUCAGUGACGAAGCCUA
rnacentral:rRNA from 1 species